AUGUGGAUAGCUCAGUUGGUUAGAGCAGGCUUCCUGAACCUCGGCCCUUCAGAUGUUUUUGGCCUACAAUUCCCAUGAGCCCUAGCUAGCAGGACCACUGGUCAGGGAUGAUGGGAAUUGUAGUCUCAAAACAUCUGGAGGGCUGAGGUUGUGGAAGCCUGGGUUGGAGCAUGCUGCUGAUAAUGCCAAGGUUGCAGGUUCAAUCCCUGUAUGGGAUAGCUGCAUA